AGGGGUAGAGCUCAGUGGUAGAGCACAUGCUAAGCAUGCAUGAGGUCCUGGGUUCAAUCCCCAGUACCUCCA
rnacentral:tRNA from 1 species